AGAAUCAACGCUGGCGGCGUGCCUAACACAUGCAAGUCGAACGAGAAAGUGGAGCAAUCCAUGAGUAAAGUGGCGCACGGGUGAGUAACACGUGACUAACCUACCCUUGAGUGGGGGAUAACCUAGAGAAAUCUGGGCUAAUACCGCAUAAUACCUUCGGGUCAAAGGAGCAAUUCGCUUAAGGAGGGGGUCGCGGCCGAUUAGUUAGUUGGCGGGGUAAUGGCCCACCAAGACUGUGAUCGGUAUCCGGCCUGAGAGGGCGCACGGACACACUGGAACUGAAACACGGUCCAGACUCCUACGGGAGGCAGCAGUGGGGAAUUUUGCGCAAUGGGGGAAACCCUGACGCAGCAACGCCGCGUGGAGGAUGAAGCCCCUUGGGGCGUAAACUCCUUUCGAUCGGGAAGAUAAUGACGGUACCGAGAGAAGAACGCCCCGGCUAACUUCGUGCCAGCAGCCGC
rnacentral:rRNA from 1 species